AUGGGGACCCUCAGGCCAGGGAGCCCCUCGCCAGCUUCAGUAGAGGAGGCGGCGGUGAGCAGGGGCCCAUCCUGCAGCAGGAAUGACGCAGGCUGGUCCGGCCCCGCCUGGGCAGUCCUCCUGGGAGGUCCUCCUGGGUUUGCUUCCCGCGCCUCCUGCUCAUCGGCCCGGGGCGUGGGCGUUGAGGAGGCCGCAGGAACCACUGCGUACGUUGGCAUAUUGCCAUCGCCCUUUCAGAGGAGCUUAAGGCCUUACAUGUUGGAGCAUGGCAGCCUCACCACGGUCCCCCCCUGCUUCCUGACCUCCUGGGUGACACGGCGGUCAUCUGGCCACACAGCGAGGGUGCGUGCCCCGGGCUGCAGCACACCCUACUUCCCUGGAGAGACACUUGUAAAAGGUGCCUCCCACAUCCCUGUGUCUCACCCGCUCCUGCUUUCGGGCCCUGACUUCACAGCAGCCAUGGCGGGGCGGGAGGCUCCUCCCUGCUCCCAGCCUCAGUUUACCAGUCAAGCAAGUCGGAAGGGAAAAGACCACACCCCGGGUGCGGAGGAGGCCAAGAGUCUGAAGUUGAAGUGCAUCCGGAACUCAGAGGUGCGCACGUGUUUGGUGCCUGCCCCCCAAACUCUGACACCCUCUGGCUCAAAGCUCAGCCAUCCCGUCAUCGUAUGCCGUGUGUGGACUCACGAGAGCAUGGCUGCAGUGAAGACAUCACCCCGAGACGAGUCACACCCUCCUCGCCGCCCCAAAGGCCGCAGCCACGGACCCAUGCUCAUCUCCAUGAUGCUGUCACCCCCCAGAAGGUUGUGUAAGUGGCAUCAUGUGGGACGUGAUUCCGCCACAUGUCCCUGGGAUCCAGGCUGCUGUGCUUUACCAAGAGUUUCUCCCUCUUUGUUGCAAGUGGUCUCCACACUUCGGAUGGGAUGGCCCUGGGGACUCGGGGGUGGCUCUGACCUCUCACCUCGCGCACUUGGCUGCUCCCAGUCAGGGCUAUUAUGGAAAAAGCUGCUAUGA
rnacentral:lncRNA from 1 species